GUGUGUGAAGAAGGCCUUCGGGUUGUAAAGCACUUUCAGUCAGGAGGAAAGGUUAGUAGUUAAUACCUGCUAGCUGUGACGUUACUGACAGAAGAAGCACCGGCUAACUCCGUGCCAGCAGCCGCGGUAAUACGGAGGGUGCGAGCGUUAAUCGGAAUUACUGGGCGUAAAGCGUACGCAGGCGGUUUGUUAAGCGAGAUGUGAAAGCCCCGGGCUCAACCUGGGAACUGCAUUUCGAACUGGCAAACUAGAGUGUGAUAGAGGGUGGUAGAAUUUCAGGUGUAGCGGUGAAAUGCGUAGAGAUCUGAAGGAAUACCGAUGGCGAAGGCAGCCACCUGGGUCAACACUGACGCUCAUGUACGAAAGCGUGGGGAGCAAACGGGAUUAGAUACCCCGGUAGUCCACGCCGUAAACGAUGUCUACUAGAAGCUCGGAGCCUCGGUUCUGUUUUUCAAAGCUAACGCAUUAAGUAGACCGCCUGGGGAGUACGGCCGCAAG
rnacentral:rRNA from 1 species